GAUGAACGCUGGCGGCGUGCCUAAUACAUGCAAGUCGAGCGAACAGACGAGGAGCUUGCUCCUCUGACGUUAGCGGCGGACGGGUGAGUAACACGUGGAUAACCUACCUAUAAGACUGGGAUAACUUCGGGAAACCGGAGCUAAUACCGGAUAAUAUAUUGAACCGCAUGGUUCAAUAGUGAAAGACGGUUUUGCUGUCACUUAUAGAUGGAUCCGCGCCGCAUUAGCUAGUUGGUAAGGUAACGGCUUACCAAGGCAACGAUGCGUAGCCGACCUGAGAGGGUGAUAGGCCACACGGGAACUGAGAAACGGCCCAGACUCCUACGGGAGGCAGAAGGAGGGAAUCUUCCGCAAUGGGCGAAAGCCUGACGGAGCAACGCCGCGUGAGUGAUGAAGGUCUUCGGAUCGUAAAACUCUGUUAUUAGGGAAGAACAAAUGUGUAAGUAACUAUGCACGUCUGGACGGUACCUAAUAAGAAAGCCACGGCUAACUACGU
rnacentral:rRNA from 1 species